GAAAGAAGGACAUUUGGGAACUCCUAGUGACAUUCUCAGAGCCUCACAACAACCCUCUUCCCCUUGGGGUCCUUGGGCCUUGGGUGUGGUGCCCUGCAGACGCGUCUGGCUGGCUGUGGCGUGGGCUCUGGGGCUGCAGCGUGCACAGGCACCGGGAGGCCCAGAGGAGGGAAGGGAGACAGGCCACCCGAAGGGAGCCGGCUUCUUGGGAAAUCUCUGCAUGCCCCUUCCUGUGCCCUGAGGGGAGAUUCGGCUCCUGUAUGUCACCGAUUCUGCAGCCCAGCAGAGGAGAAGCUGGAGAGUGGAGUAGGGGCGUGUGAAGAUGCAGGCGCCCUGAGUGCCCGGCUGUGUGGACCUGAUCUGAGCCACAACUUCCUGACUUCGAAGGCCAGGCUGGAGCCCAAGAAGGCUUUGCAGCCCCCUGGGUGUGCUCAUUGUGUGAGCCAAGUGUUGUCUCUGGUGAUGAUGCCGACAGCCCGGCUCUCCUCGUGUUUCCGCUGCUGCGUGGAAUGUGAACCAGCUGAGCCGGACCAGCGCCGCCCCAGGGCAGGAGGCCAGGUGUGCUGUCUCUGGACGACAGGCAUGAGGAACAGCGACGCCUGAUGUCACCAGGGCCUGGGAACCACCCUGCCUGGGGG
rnacentral:lncRNA from 1 species